rnacentral:rRNA from 1 species
GAAGGAGCUUGCUCCUUUGACGUUAGCGGCGGACGGGUGAGUAACACGUGGGCAACCUACCUUAUAGUUUGGGAUAACUCCGGGAAACCGGGGCUAAUACCGAAUAAUCUGUUUCACCUCAUGGUGAAAUAUUGAAAGACGGUUUCGGCUGUCGCUAUAGGAUGGGCCCGCGGCGCAUUAGCUAGUUGGUGAGGUAACGGCUCACCAAGGCGACGAUGCGUAGCCGACCUGAGAGGGUGAUCGGCCACACUGGGACUGAGACACGGCCCAGACUCCUACGGGAGGCAGCAGUAGGGAAUCUUCCACAAUGGGCGAAAGCCUGAUGGAGCAACGCCGCGUGAGUGAAGAAGGAUUUCGGUUCGUAAAACUCUGUUGUAAGGGAAGAACAAGUACAGUAGUAACUGGCUGUACCUUGACGGUACCUUAUUAGAAAGCCACGGCUAACUACGUGCCAGCAGCCGCGGUAAUACGUAGGUGGCAAGCGUUGUCCGGAAUUAUUGGGCGUAAAGCGCGCGCAGGUGGUUUCUUAAGUCUGAUGUGAAAGCCCACGGCUCAACCGUGGAGGGUCAUUGGAAACUGGGGAGACUUGAGUGCAGA